AGCGACCUGCACAAACCACGUAUAGCUAACGUGCUUGUUUUAUAGUAUCUUGAAUUUAUAUAAUAAGUUUAAAACUCCACUUCACUGUACAGGUAUAGAGACAGCACGGUUUUACUUCCUGAUACAUUAUGUUAUUGUGACAAACUGUCGCCUGCUCGAGCAGUGUACAAGAGUCAUGAACGGGUACUACAAAUCUCUAGCAAAGAUGUCACCAACGAAACUAGCUGUAAGGCCAAUAUAACCAACAGAAAAAAUGGCGUCGGGUUCAGACGAUAGUGGGGGCCUAAAGCCUUUCGAUUGGG